UGUCUGGGAUGGGAGGGAGGACCCAGGGUGCUCUUACCCUACAGUAGAUUUGGUCCCUUUAAGACAGGGGUUCUUGAGUUCACAGGCUUUGUCUGUGGAGACUGGCAGAGUCAGUUUUGUCCCUGGCCCUAUAAUUACUGGUAUUGCAGCUUUGAGUCAUUUAUCAGCAAGUAGUCCAGGGAGAGCGUUUUAAAGGAAGCAGGGGAAGGUGGAAGAAACCUUUGUCCUGGGCCUCAGGCUGCAGCUGGGUCCGCUGUGCUGUGCAGAGAAAGAGCUGUGGGUCAGCUGCAUGUUCCACAGUGGCAGGAUUCCUGUUGACAGCAUCGUGAGUCUGUGGGCACCAGUGUGCAGAGAGAAGAGCAGGAAGAAAAGAAAUGGCCCUGGCUGUGGUCUGCAGGGACAGCAGCCUUCCUUCCCCAUGUCUUUAGAGGGAGGGGGAUGGCCUGGAGCAGUGAGCACGUGAUGUAGGGUGGUGUGAGUGGUUCAUUUAUUUGGUCUGUCACUUGAGCAGACUUAGACCCUGCAUGUAAAGAGAGGGGGUGCUGGCACAUGGAUCGGGGGCCUUGACACACCACAGUGUGCAGAGAGGCCCAGUGAUCAGGGUCCCAGGGAGCUGGAGUAAAGAAGUGAAGGCUUCCUGGAGAGAGGAGAAGAGAGAUAGCAAAGGCCUGCCACAACCUGGAUUCUACACCCUGGGCUGCAGCCAUUUUUCUUGCCAACCAUUCAUGCUCUUCCAGAGCCAGCUCUAGGAUGCCCACUUUAGGCACAGGUGUGCCUUUUAUCCCCCCUGACAAAAAACAUCUGGAUUCCGUGCUGACAAGGCUGCGUGGUUCUUCCCACCUGGGCCGGAAGCUGACCACCCCAGCUCCGGGCAGCAGCGGCUCAGGCUGUCCUGAGCUUUAGGCAGAAGAGUGAAGAUCUCCAACAACAUCUGUGCUCGGGCUUCCUAAGCUGCCAGCGGCUUGUGUGGAGAGAAGAUUCCAGAGGCAUGGGCUGUCACCCGGAACUCUGGGCUGGGGGAUGUCAUUCAAGCAAAGCCUUGAGGUCACCUCUGUCAGCCAGGCCUGGCAAGUUGAGUUACAGUGGAGGGGGAAUGUGUUUUACCCUAAGCUACAUCUCCAGCUCCAAGAGAGACCGUGGAGAGUUAAGUGAUUCAGAAAGGCCAGAGCUGGGGAUUGAGCCAAGCCUCUGUGCUGACCAUGCGGCCAGAAGCGCUGUGUCUGCUUAUCUCCCCAUCCCUGGGUCUGGCUACCUUGUCUUACGAGCACUUUACAGGCAAGUGGAGCUCUAGGCCUGAUCUGGAAGGCCUGGUGCCCGGCAUGGGAGUGGUGGGGGCUCCCUGGGCAGUGGCCAGAUGUGUCCAGAUACCAGCUUUCCUUGGGAACCAACAACCUUCUAAGGAAGGGCUCUCUUCUUUAACUUCAAUUCCUCGUUUGUGUACCUUUUCAAGGACAACACUGAUUCUGUAAGACGUUAAGCUGAAUAGAAUAGAGAAGUUAACCAUGGUCCAUUAAUAAUGUUCUUUUGUCCCCUAGAAAGCUUCAUCUGAGAUGUGUGUGAGUGUAAUUUAUAUGUGUGAUAGAAAAAUGACUAGGAGAGAACCCUGUCAGGCUGCUCUUAAGUCAAAGGAAACUCCAUUAGAAAUUCAUCUAUCCUAUUCAGCCUUGCCUGCCAGGAAGCUCCCAGCCAAUCAUGAAGUUCUCAUAGAAGUAGUGGCUUCCUUCUUGUGGGCCCAGGGUUUCUUUCAUGGCCCAGAUUGUCUUUACAAGUCAUUUUUGUUUGAAUGGUUAUCACAGAAUUCAAAGGACCUUGACUUCUGUUUAGAAACUGCAUAUUCAAAAAGCUUUCUUUGGCUCCCUGAUAUAGAGACUUCUCUCUUGGUGUCACAGUCUGAGUGUGUGUGGGAAGAGCUGUGUCCCAUAGCAUGCCAGGCAUCAGUCUGGAGGCCGAAGGAAGAAUGUUCCUGACCAUUCUGCCUUUCAGGGCAUAUGGUGAGCACAGAGCUGCUGGUUCACUAGAACAGGAGGGUCUUCCCUGACAUGAGUGGGGUUUGCCCAGACACAGUCAGGCAUUUCCAUCCCUGCCCCGCUGUGAAAGCCUGGGCUGUUAGUCCAGCUAGUGUACCCAGGACUCCACCAGGAUGUCACUUUUCUUAGGGAGAUGAGGCCGGGCUGCUGUGACUGCCCAGGCUGGUCAUCCUUCCUGCCCCUUGCUCAUUGUCCUUUCAUUUUACGAGAAGAAGACACACUUGGCACCUGUCCAGAAUGUCACAACAUUGCCCAGACUAUAAAAGAUUCGAGAGCAGCAAAUGGACCUGUUAAGAACGGGUAGCCCCGAGCGGAGGCAGAGAGAAAAGCACAGGUCACCGAGAGGGAUUCGGUUGGCAAAGGCAUGGCAGCACAGCGUGUCAUUGAGUGCCUCUUUCCUCAUCCCACGUCACUGCAGUCACCCACCAUCACUCACCCAUCCAUCCCGAUGCCCACUCAUCUAUCCAUCACAAAAGUGACAUUCUGAAUUCCAUAGACCUCGGGCCUGGACUUUUCAGUUUAGUUUUCCCUAGUGGUAUGUGGUCUGAUACUAUGCAGCGCCAUUGGCUCCUGUGAUCAGGAGGGUAGAUGGUGGAUAUCGGCUGUGCCCCGAGUCUCCCUAGGUGGUGGUGUCUGGUAGGUUGGGGACCCACUGUAGGUGGGGGAGCACUGUGAUUUGUACCUGCUAGACUUGUGAGGCCAUUUUGACUUAAAGAGAUGCAAGAAACACGUGGCUGUCAUGUUUUUAGGGGACAGAACUAUUAUAAAAAAAGUCUUGUGUUGUGGUAGUUUGCAUGUAAUUGGGCCCUUUAAUCUUAUAGGGCAUGGCACUAUUAGGAGGUGUGGCUUUGUUGGAGUGAAUAUGGCCUUGUUGGAGGAAGUGUGCCACUGUGGGGGCUUUGAGGUUUCCUAUGCUCACGAUACCGCCCAGUGUGUCAAUCGACUUCUGUUGUCUGGAAGAUGUAGGACUCUCUCAGCUUCUACUCCAGCACCACAUCUACCUGCAUGAUGCCAUGCUCCCUGUCAUGAUGAUAAUGGACUGAAUUGCUGAAACUAUAAGCGAGCUACCCCAGUUAAAUGUUUUCCUUUAUAAGA